rnacentral:rRNA from 1 species
AAUCUGCCUGGUAGUGGGGGACGAACGUUUCGAAAGGAACGCUAAUACCGCAUACGUCCUACGGGAGAAAGCAGGGACCUUCGGGCCUUGCGCUAUCAGAUGAGCCUAGGUCGGAUUAGCUAGUUGGUGAGGUAAUGGCUCACCAAGGCGACGAUCCGUAACUGGUCUGAGAGGAUGAUCAGUCACACUGGAACUUAGACACGGUCCAGACUCCUACGGGAGGCAGCAGUC